rnacentral:rRNA from 1 species
GGGGGAUAUUGCACAAUGGGGGAAACCCUGAUGCAGCGACGCCGCGUGGAGGAAGAAGGUUUUCGGAUUGUAAACUCCUGUCGUUAGGGACGAUAAUGACGGUACCUAACAAGAAAGCACCGGCUAACUACGUGCCAGCAGCCGCGGUAAAACGUAGGGUGCAAGCGUUGUCCGGAAUUACUGGGUGUAAAGGGAGCGCAGGCGGACCGGCAAGUUGGAAGUGAAAACUAUGGGCUCAACCCAUAAAUUGCUUUCAAAACUGCUGGCCUUGAGUAGUGCAGAGGUAGGUGGAAUUCCCGGUGUAGCGGUGGAAUGCGUAGAUAUCGGGAGGAACACCAGUGGCGAAGGCGACCUACUGGGCACCAACUGACGCUGAGGCUCGAAAGCAUGGGUAGCAAACAGGAUUAGAUACCCUGGUAGUCCAUGUCGUAAACGAUGAUUACUAGGUGUUGGAGGAUUGACCCCUUCAGUGCCGCAGUUAACACAAUAAGUAAUCCACCUGGGGAGUACGACCGCAAGGUUGAAACUCAAAGGAAUUGACGGGGGCCCGCACAAGCAGUGGAGUAUGUGGUUUAAUUCGACGCAACGCGAAGAACCUUACCAAGUCUUGACAUCCCUUGACAGGCAUAGAAAUAUGUUUUCUCUUCGGAGCAAGGAGACAGGUGGUGCAUGGUUGUCGUCAGCUCGUGUCGUGAGAUGUUGGGUUAAGUCCCGCAACGAGCGCAACCCUUAUGGUCAGUUACUACGCAAGAGGACUCUGGCCAGACUGCCGUUGACAAAACGGAGGAAGGUGGGGAUGACGUCAAAUCAUCAUGCCCUUUAUGACUUGGGCUACACACGUACUACAAUGGCGUUAAACAAAGAGAAGCAAGACCGCGAGGUGGAGCAAAACUCAGAAACAACGUCCCAGUUCGGACUGCAGGCUGCAACUCGCCUGCACGAAGUCGGAAUUGCUAGUAAUCGUGGAUCAGCAUGCCACGGUGAAUACGUUCCCG